CCCUAUUUGGACACAGACUGGCUAACCUAGUGAGGAGGGCUUUAAACUAUGGUUCGACGGGGACAGUGAGCAAAGCCCACAGCUUUUCAAGCUAAAUUGCAUCUGAGAUGAGGACGGCAGACAAAGUGUAUCCAGACAUUCAGUGGCAUAUGCUGCAUUACUAAGACCAACUUAUGAGAUCCUAAACUGGAGAUAACAGCUGCUUUCUCACUAAAGAUUCUCACGUAUGAAUGCUAGCAAGAACACAACAAGCCACACAAAAUCUCCAGAGAACCCAACAAAGGGAACACAGAAACAUAGGGAUUGCCACCCUGCAUCAGA